rnacentral:rRNA from 1 species
GACGAACGCUGGCGGCGUGCUUAACACAUGCAAGUCGAACGGUGAAGCGCCUUCCUUUUUGGUGGGUGUGGAUGAGUGGCGAACGGGUGAGUAACACGUGAGUAACCUGCCCCCUUCUUCUGGAUAACCGCAUGAAAGUGUGGCUAAUACGGGAUAUUCUGGGUCUGUCGCAUGAUGGGUCUGGGAAAGAUAUUGUUUCGGUGGGGGAUGGGCUCGCGGCCUAUCAGCUUGUUGGAGGGGUGAUGGCCUACCAAGGCGGUGACGGGUAGCCGGCCUGAGAGGGUGGACGGUCACACUGGGACUGAGACACGGCCCAGACUCCUACGGGAGGCAGCAGUGGGGAAUAUUGCACAAUGGGCGCAAGCCUGAUGCAGCGACGCCGCGUGAGGGAUGGAGGCCUUCGGGUUGUGAACCUCUUUCGCCAGUGAAGCAGGCCUGCCUCGUUUGUGGGUGGGUUGACGGUAGCUGGAUAAGAAGCGCCGGCUAACUACGUG